AUACAAUACACGUGUGAAGAGCUUGUUAAACAUUCAGAAUGUAAAGGUGUCAAAACAUAUGCUCUUUCAUUUGAGUUCCCUAUUAAAAGCGAGGACGACGUUAUUGAAGCUUUUAGAAGUUAUUUCAGCAAGAACAAAAAUGUAAGAAUUGCUAUAAUAGAACAUAUUUCAAGUCCUCUUUCUGUAAGAAUGCCAAUAGAGAAAUUGAUUCCACUUUGCAAGGAAUAUGGAGUUCUCAGUCUGAUAGACGGUGCUCAUGCACUAGGGCAAAUUCCACUGAAUCUUCGAGAGCUUAACGCUGACUUUUAUACAGGAAAUCUCCAUAAAUGGUUUUAUUGCCCACGAGGAUGUGCAUUCCUCAAUAUGAAGAAAAUUCACAAGGAUUGGGUUAAACCGCUCGUAACAUCAUUUCGUCAUUAUGAGGGGUUUCACAAUAUGUUCCAUACACAGGGCACACGUGAUACAAGUGUCUUCUGCGUUGUACCGGAAGCUAUUAAAUUCUAUUCCGAUAUUGGUG